UCUCUCCCUCGUGAAUAUCUCUCUCUUCGACGCAAUCGUCUUUCUCCCUCAACGGUGGCUGUUCAUCCAAGCUUAACUCCAUCGUUGACAUCCACGAGGUUCAAAUGGCAUCCGAUGCUGCCAUUGUCACUUGGGGCUCGGGUGAAGAUGGACAAUUGGGAAUCGGGAACAACGAGGAGAUGGAGUGGGUUCCGAAUGUGACAAACCUUUUGGGGCUGACAAACCUUUUGGAACGGCUCCGAAUGUGAACUCGAGUGUUCCUGGUACAGGACAUGCCAUACAGGGUGGGUAUGCGAAUCAGGCAAGUAUAAGCCCUGGAAUGAUGGGAAGCUAUGGAAAUCAAGGUGCAAUGCAAGGUGGCUACCCGAACCCGCAGAUAGGGCAAGGUUGUUCAGGAAGAGGGCAGCAUGGUGUUGGGCAAUCUGGUGGCGCUCCUUACUUGGGGCAUUAGGUGCCCCUGAGAUCCCAAAUAGGUGCAUUAGUGUUUUUGUACUGGUCUGGUGAUUCUUCUGAAGUUUACAAGGAGCUGAUGGUUACUACAAAGAGCAGAAUCUUAAAACUGUCAAAUGAAAUUUCUGUUUUCCUUCCCUUUUCUGUCUUUUUCUUCUUCAAAGUACUGUAGUUUUUUUAAUUUUAUUUGUUUGAAAGCUCAAGAGUUUGAGAAAUUCUCUUAUAAACCUAUCUGUGUUUUAUGGAGUCGCAAGGUUGAACAAAAAUACUUUUUAAAUUCCC